rnacentral:tRNA from 1 species
GGGUUGGUAGCUCAGUGGUAGAGCAUCUGGCUUUUAACCAGUUGGCCGGCAGUUCGAUCCUGCCCCAACCCACCA